rnacentral:piRNA from 1 species
UCUUGAGCUCCUUUAAACCUUUAACCAAGGGCUUCUUGAGCUCCUUUAAACCUUGAGCUUCACUGAGCUCUUUUUAACCUUUAACAAAGGGCUUCUUGAGCUCCUUUAAACCUUGAGCUUCACUGAGCUCUUUUUAACCUUUAACAAAGGGCUUUUUGAGCUCCUUUAAAUCUUGAGCUUCACUGAGCUCUUUUUAACCUUUAACAAAGGGCUUCUUGAGCUCCUUUAAACCUUGAGCUUCACUGAGCUCUUUUUAACCUUUAACAAAGGGCCUUUUGAGCUCCUUUUAACCUUUAACAAUGGGCUUUUUGAGCUCCUUUAAACCUUGAGCUUCACUGAGCUCUUUUUAACCUUUAACAAAGGGCUUCCCGAGCUCCUUUAAACCUUUAACAAAGGGCUUCUCGAGCUCCUUUAAACCUUUAACAAAGGGCUUCUUGAGCUCCUGUUCCCUUGAGUUUCUUGAGCUUCUGUUCCCUUGAGCUUCUUGAGCUUCUGCUUCUUGAGCUUGAGCUUUUUGAGCUUCUUGAGCUUCUGUUCCCUUGAGCUUCCUGAGCUUCUGCUUCUUGAGCCCGAGCUUCUUGAGCUUCUGUUCCUUUGAGCUCCGCAGAUUCUCACUCUCCCUCUGCUACUCGGCAGGCUCUCCUACUUCCUCUGCUACUCGGCAGGCUCCACUACUUCCUCUGCUACUCGGCAGGCUCUAAUACUUCCUCUGCUACUCGGCAGGCUCUCCUACUUCCUCUGCUACUCGGCAGGCUCCACUACUUCCUCUGCUACUCGGCAGGCUCUAAUACUUCCUCUGCUACUCGGCAGGCUAAUACUUCCUCUGCACCUCGGCAGGCUAAUACUUCCUCUGCUACUCGGCAGGCUAAUACUUCCUCUGCACUUCGGCAGGCUAAUACUUCACUGAGCUCUUUUUCCUGAGCACGAGUUCCUUGAUUCCCAGGCUCUGCAGGCUUUUUCUCAACUUGACCAGCCGAUGCAGCCCACCCGGGGACGCCAUUAAAUGUUAAGGUACGCGAGGUCAGAUUGAAGAAACCUCCUCUUAACAAGUAAAACUUUGACCUAAAGUUUUGAUGUAGUUUGGGCUGCCUCAGGUGAUCAAGCAAGAAAAGAAAAUAACGAAGACAAAAACCAGCGGCUACACACGCAGAAGCUCUCGCUCUACUAUGAAACUCUUUAUUUCCACAACACGGCUUAGUUAUAUACAUUCAAAGGAAUUUACAUAAUAAUAAUUUAUACAUUCAAUAGAAAAUCUACAUUUCCAGUCAUACAUUCAAAAAGAUAUUUACAUACUAUGUCACGACUUUUAACAUAUAUAUAGUGGUGCAUCCUCUGUAGCUCUAUUACACUCUUUGGGUAAAAAAGGGAUAAGGAUUGAAAUUGCUUGAGAAGAGUGACCGUGAUUGACCAAGCCUAGCCAGCAGCCUGUAAUCUAAGGUUUUCAGAUCCCAGUCAAACAUUCGUAGAUGUUUUUCUGAAAAAUAAUUUAAAAAAAACUAAUAUUAAUAUAAAUCAUAAUAAUCUGCAACUGUCCUUGAAUAUUCUAAUUCUAGAGAUUUUACCUUUCAAAUAUAUACAAAUAUAUACUUUUAUAGAAAGAAUUAUGAAAAUAAGAUACCACUCAAACAACAACAAAAAAAGAGACUAAAAUAGCAUUAAAAAAAAUUAUUCAUGACAACACAGAAGAAUACACAAAAUUUGAAGUCUUAUUUUCUGGAGCCAAAACAUAAAUAUUUCUUCCUGAGCCAACUCUAGAGCAGUCAACAUACAAUUGCCCAUGCGAGAAACAGGGUUGCUCCAAGUCAAUGCCAGCAAUUUUGAGGGACUGACCUUGAGCCUUGUUAAUCGACAUGGCAAAAGAAACUAGAAUGGGGAAUUGCAAUCUUUUAAAAUGCAAAGGAGAAUGUUUAUCAUCAUGAAUCAGAGGAAUCCGGCGAAUAAAAACCUCUUCAAAUAUAUACGUAUAUAGAAAGAAUUAUGAAAAUAAUAUACCACUCAAACAACAAAAAAAAGACUGAAAUAGCAUAAAAAAAAUUAUUAAUGACAACACAGAAGAAUACACAAAAUUUGAAGUCUUAUUUUCUGGAGCCAAAACUUAAAGAUUUCUUCCUGAGCCAACUCUAGAGCAGGCGACAUACAAUUGCCCAUGCGAGAAACAGGGUUGCCCCAAGUCAAUGCCAGCAAUUUUGAGGGAGUGACCUUGAGCCUUGUUAAUCGACAUGGCAAAAGAAACUUGAAUGGGGAACUGCAAUCUUUUAAAAUGCAAAGGAGAAUGUUUAUUAUCAUGAAUCAGAGGAAUCCGGGGAAUAAAAACCUCUUCAUUUUGAAAACAACCAGUUAAAAUGGUUGCCUCUACCACAUGAGGCCACAAUCUUUUAACACAGAGACGGGUACCAUUGCAAAGGCGGGGUGCAUCAAUAUUUUGUCAUUAAAUAUAUACGUAUAUAGAAAGAAUUAUGAAAAUAAUAUACCACUCAAACAACAAAAAAAAAAAGACUAAAAUAGCAUUAAAAAAAAUUUAUUCAUGACAACACAGAAGAAUACACAAAAUUUGAAGUCUUAUUUUCUGGAGCCAAAACAUAAAGAUUUCUUCCUGAGCCAACUCUAGAGCAGGCAACAUACAAUUGCCCAUGCGAGAAACAGGGUUGCUCCAAGUCAAUGCCAGCAAUUUUGAGGGACUGACCUUGAGCCUUGUUAAUCGACAUGGCAAAAGAAACUCGAAUGGGGAACUGCAAUCUUUUAAAAUGCAAAGGAGAAUGUUUAUCAUCAUGAAUCAGAGGAAUCCGGGGAAUAAAAACCUCUUCAUUUUGAAAACAACCAGUUAAAAUGGUUGCCUCUACCACAUGAGGCCACAAUCUUUUAACACAGAGACGGGUACCAUUGCAAAGGCGGGGUGCAUCAAUAUUUCUCAAUAAAAUAAUGGGAACACCAACUCUUAAGUUCUAAGUGAUGUGGUGGCAUCCCAGAAGGUUCUAAAGAAUUUAAAAACUCUGUUGUAUAUUCCACGCAAUCCUCAGCAUCAAUGGUGGAAUCCACAGAAGUAUAUAAAAUGCUUUGCCCUGGUUUUUCUUUCAAAAGCUGAGCAUUUAUGUCAUCAACUACACAAUUCCUUGGAGCCAAAAUUGCCCGCUCACAAAGCCAAGGAUAGUAAUUCGCCCUUCCCCGGUUAAACAUCUCCCCAAUGUUAGGAAAAACACUAUUCUUUAGGCCAGAGAGGGAGUCAACAGUGUUAACCAAUUCAUUUAAAAAAUUAACAUUACCAUCCGUAUCAUUAAGUUGGCCACUUCCUAGUUGAAGCAAAAAUUGUGAAAAUAACAGUGAGUUGGGAUCUCCUGAAUUGACAGCCCGCAUAUUUGUUGAAAGAGUAAGUCUUUCAACAAAUGACCAAAGUGGGGAUGCCUUUAAGCAAGCAUGCAACUCAUCUGCUAUUGUACCUCUAGGGAUAAUGGGCAAUAUCUGCCUGAAGUCACCGGCCAACAACAACACUACACCUCCCAUUGGUCUCUGAUCCUGCCUACAAUCUUUAAGUGUUUGUCAACUGCCUCUAAAGCAUGCCUGUGUGCCAUAGUACAUUCAUCCCAGACAAUAAAUUUGCAUUGUCUAAGAACUUCACCCAUUGCGGAAUCAGCAUUCAAAUUACAAACUGGUACCUCAUCCCUGGUCAAAUCUAAGGGUAAUUUGAAAGUGGAAUGAGCAGUUCUGCCACCAUGCAACAGAGUGGCCGCAAUACCAGAAGAAGCUGUAGAAAGAGCAAUGUCCCCAGUACUUCGUACCUUUGUAAGAAGAAGAUUGAUCAGAAAAGUUUUUCCUGUGCCCCCGGAGCAUCAAGAAAGUACAAUCCGCCAGCAUUGGAAUCAAUUUUAGAAAGGAUCCUAUCGUAAGCCUCCUUUUAUUCAGGGACAUUGACAAGUUUCGGUUCAUUCGAAGCCACAAAUUGUAGUAACCUGCUGAGAUCAUACGAUGUUUCUCUUAAAAGUUCAUGACUGGCUCGGUGAGUAACAUUGCGCUGUGGGGACCUCAUGCCAAACUUUGUCAAAUGGAAACCAGUCAUUUGCAGAACCUUUCGUUCUAAAAGUAUUAAAGCCUGAUUUGACAUUUCGGAUGUCAGCUGUAAAAGACCGUCAUUGGCUUGCUGUCUGGCAAGAUUCAGAAUAUCUGCAGACAUUGGUUCUUUAAAUUGUGCCCAGAUAUCUUGAGGGUUGGUAGGGUGGCAGCAGGUAAGAAUAAUAGCAAAAUGUUCCCGGAUUUUUAAAGGAGACUCACUUAGCACUGCUUCCUGAAUACAAUGAUGCCAUUGCUGGUCAUUCUCAAGCAACCCCAAAUGCAGACAUGCCUCUUUAUAUGUUUGACAGAGCACACCAUUGAUUGUUCUGAGGGCUGCAAAAGAAGUCGGACCACGAACACUAUGAAGCAGCAUGCGAAGAUAAAAACAUUCCUCAAAAUUUGGAUGAACGGUGUAGACUCUGCCAAUAGCAUCAGAAGCAAAAGCAACUUGGUCAGCAAUGCGAGUGCCUUGUUUUCGAGGCUGCCAUGAUUUAGAAGCAGACCAAAUGUAGUAAACAGGAACUUCAACAUAGAGAAGUGUUUUUGCAAAGUUAUCGCGCUGGCAAAGGGCAAAAAAUGCUGUCAACGUGGUCUUAGGUGGACGGUGAGCCUGUACUGCAGCAUUAGCAGAAGUAAAACAUACACGCUACCCAUUUUCUAAGUGUACAGAGAGAUGUUGAACCAUUGGAUGGCGUCUGUGAAUAGGGAAUCCCAGAAUGCGCCAAACAGCUUCAUUGCUACUAAUAUAUCGACCAUGUUGGUACUCUAGCACUUCAUUAGACUCUGUUUGAGCACCAGUAACUGCAAAAGUUGAUUGGUCUGAACCCUUGUAUAUGUAUUUGCAGAUAUAUUUUAUAGCAGAGAUUGAAGCACAGGACUCCACAUUGAUGUGAGCAUCAAAUAGUCUGCAUAGAAGAGGCGAAUAUGGCACAACAUACCUAUUAUCAAUGGUAACAUUAGUCAUGCGCACAACCUGAACACCAUUCUCAAUGGUGAAAACUCUCACUCUUUUAACAAAAGAAAAGCCACCUUCCUCAGGCCUGCGACGUCUGUACAAUGGGUAGCCAUCCCUAUCUGUCUGCGUUUCAGCCAAGAGUAGCCGUGGAUAUUUCUUUUGGCAUCUACCCCGUUCCAUGCAGCCAGGAUUAGGAUACCCAUGUCCACAUGGCCCAUGAAUCAUAUUUUUGGUUACAGUCCGAAACAGUGAAGCAUCAACCUCCGCAUUGGGGAUUUCAGCACAAAUGAUCGAAUCAAUCUGGUUUGGGCGAAUCUUUUUUUUAAGCCACAAUAAAAUAUGAGCAUGUGGUAGCCCUCGCUUUUGCAUUCAAUGGUAUAACACCAACAUGGGGCUUGCCAAAAACAUCACCCUUGGUGAUCAAAUCUAUAAGCUUGGUAACUUUCAAUUGAAAAAUGCGAGCAACCAAGUCAUGCCGAACAAAUGCACCUUGGGUGGGGAACUGCAUUAGUUUUAUCUCAGGCCACUCGGGAUUGCAUGUAAAUGUAAUAAAAAGGUCUGGGUGACCAUAUUUACGGACGUAAGCCAUGCAAUCCUGGGCAUACUCAUGCAUGUGCCUUGGACUGCCCACAAAGGAAGAAUAACUUGUCUUCCAAUAAGGGCAUGACUCCUGUCAGUGCGAAUAGCAUCUAACAGAUUGAUGUAUUCGGUUGCACGAAGUUGAGCUUGAUGCGCUGAGAUGUAAUGCAGCCUUUCAGAUUCCACCUUGGCAUAAAUGUCGACCAGAAUUUGAUGGGUCAAAUCUCCAAAAGCCAGUAACCAAUUUGUUAUGCCAGGAUUACGGCUACGAAUCAUUAGCAGUGAAGUAUAAAAAUCCAUGCAAGAAACCGUCUUGUGCGCCGAAGGAACCCCAUUAAUCAGCUGAGGGAUAUGGAAAUGAUAACCAUCUUGACCAUUCCAAAAAACCAAUGGGUAUUGCAGGGCGUCAUAAGACCUGUGAAACUCGUUAAUCCUCUGCACACCACUGCCUCUUUUGGAAAGAACAAUGUCACGUCUGUCACAGUUUUCCUGCACAAUAACAAUGGCAACCUCAUUAAUGGUUGGAGCAUUGAAUGUGCGAGGAUGGUGUCCAGGCGGUGCUUUGUCAGCCUUAAUGACCAACUUGUAAUCAGGAGAAGGCAUUUUUUCAAUGGAAGCUUUGAACAAAUGGACAUAAGGAUUAUGUUGAUGCAACAUAUCUUGCAAAAUGCUAACAAUGUGGGGCUUAGUGAUGGGAAAGUUUCUAUGGCGGGUGGCAACCUCUGCACUACUAUCUCCGAUGAAGAAAACCUGAAGGAAUGCUGGCUGUAGUUGGCGGCUAUCAGAGUUGAGUGGUGGCAAAACAGAGCCAAUUCUAUGAUAGACCUGGCCUUGGACCUUAAACGUUGGCAUGUAACCUGGCAACACAACACGACUACCACACCCAAAAGAUGUCAUUUGGAAGGCAUUGUUAUAGUGACGGAUAUGUCGCAUGAACUCAGCCGAGUGAGGAGAAGACCCAUCGAGCAGAGUUCUGAGAGCUUCUGGGGGUUCAGGUAAAUCGGGAAUUCUGACCUUACCUGCAGAACAGCACAUUCCAGGCCGCUCACCAUUGUACUUAAAGGCAGUACAAUGUUGACAUUGUUUAUCCAUAUGGCCAAUCUGAAGAAAAGUAAAUUGUUCAUAAUUCAGGGCCAGAUUGUAAUGGAAAGCAGCAUUGAGCAUAUCAGCCCAAGUGCUAGCUCGUUGCCUGAAAUACCGCAACUGGUAAGCCUCCUGUCGUGUUUGGGACUGCUGGGGAGUCUCUGAUGCGCGUUGAACUCUGUGGUGCAGCCGGUCACUUUGGAGACGGGCUUGAGACUGUUGGGAAUUCUCUGAUGCGCGUUGAACUCUGUGGCGCAGCCGGUCACUUUGGAGGCGGGCUUGAGACUGUUGGGGAAUCUCUGAUGCGUGUUGAACUCUGUGGCGCAGCCGGUCACUUUGGAGGCGGGCUUGAGACUGUUGGGGAUUCUCCAAUGUGCGGCUACUUUGGCCUCUAGCAGCUCGGGCAGCCAUGCGUCGAGCUGCAGGUGUACUUAUUCCAAUUGCAGAUCUUUUGCGAGGCAUAUCAAAUGGGAUGAUUCAAUUUGAAAAUAUGUCCUAAAAAAACAGAAAUAGCACAAUCAGUACAAAAAAAAGCUUAUAAGGAAAACAGUGCAGACCCAAAACAUAUGAUUUUUUUAAAAGAAUAACAAAACAAAGGCCAUUACAACAAUUAAAAAACAUAAGCCCAUUGUGUAUAUACAGUAAUAAAAGUUUGUAAAUAUUGUCAAAUCUGCAUUGGUUACUAACCGUAACUUUGUAAAAUGUAGUGCCCUAUCAACAUGUCAGAAAAAAAAUAAUAAUACUAAAAAAAACUAAUGCCAAAAUAGCCAUGUUAAUAUUUCAGGCUGAUAAAAACCAAAGGGUAUAUGGAUUAUAGACAAACACAUGUUUUGGCUGUUAAAUGAGACAGUAAUUCAUAGUAAAUUUUCACUACUGUAUUUUCUGCAUAUUGACUAUUGUUUGUUUAAUUUUAAGAAUUAUCAUAUUGACUGUAAAAAAAAAACAAAGGCCAGAACAAAAAUUAAUAAAUGUAAUGUUUUUUUUUAAUUGCAUUGUGUGAACGUACCUUAACUUAGCAAUAUAAAUUUUAGACAAACACAUGUUUUGGCUGUUAAAUGAGACAGUAAAUCAUAUUAAAUUUUCACUACUGUAUUUUUGCUUAUUGACUAUUGUUUGUUUAGUUUUAAGAAUUAUCAUAUUGACUGUAAAAAAAAAAAAAAAACAAAGGCCAGAACAAAAAUUAAUAAAAAAAAGUAAGAAAGGCAUUGUUUACAUACAGUAAAGCUAAUUCUGUAAUGUUUUUUUUUUUAAUUGCAUUGUGUGAACGUUUUUUAACUUAGCAAUAUAAAUUUUAGACAAACACAUGUUUUGGCUGUUAAAUGAGACAGUAAAUCAUAUUAAAUGUUCACUACUGUAUUUUUUGCUUAUUGACUAUUGUUUGUUUAAUUUUAAGAAUUAUAUCAUAUUGACUGUAAAAAAACACAAAGGCCAGAACAAAAAUGAAUAAAAAAUAAGAAAGCCAUUGUUUACAUACAGUAACGCUAAUUUUGUAAAGUUUUUUUUUUUAAUUGUGUGAAACUUACCUUAACUUAGUAAUAUAAAUUUCUCUCUGAAAAGAAAUGCAGAACGCUCAUUGGUCGCUUAAUUGGCCUCGUGUUGUUACUUUCCGUCGUAUUUACUCCGCGUAAAAAAAAGUUCUUCAAAUGAAAAAAAGAAAUAGCCAAAAAUACUAAGCAAAUUGUAUCCAAAAAUUUUCCUCAGGUUUAUAAAAAGCGACAUGCAAAAUUUGGUACCAAUUGGUUCAGUAGUUUUUGAGUUUAUCGCGAAACAGACAGACAGACAGGAAUUGACUUUUAUAUAUAUAGAGAUUAUGAAAAUUAAUCCCUUCACUUUUAUCUGUAUAAUGUAAUUUAAUUGAAAUAUAAGCAUCUAUAAUAAUUUGUCACAUAUAUUUUUACAUAUAGUUGCUCUAGACAUUUUACUCUCUUAUUUAUUCAAACAUUUGAAAAUGAGAAACACAAGUUCAAGAUUGUUAUAAUCCUUGUCAUAAUUGUGAACAUUCACCACUAGCCUCCUCAUAUAAUGUUCUAGAUCAAUAAAAUAGAAAAUAUGCUAAAUGUAUUCACAUUGUAUUUACCAUAACCUUUUAUCGUUGGCUCCAAUUUAUACACAACAUAAAUUAUUAACAACAAAAUUCGCAUAUCCCCCCACUUUACCUUCACUUCAUUAAACUCUACUUCUUCACACUUUAGCUUCACUUCCUCAAACUCUAGCUUCAGCUACACUUCUUUAUACUUUAGCUUCACUUCUCUAGACUUUAGCUUCUUUAUACUCUAGCUUCUUUAUACUUUAGCUUCACUUCUCUAGACUUUAGCUUCUUUAUACUCUAGCUUCUUUAUACUUUAGCUUCACUUCUCUAGACUUUAGCUUCUUUAUACUCUAGCUUCUUUAUACUUUAGCUUCACUUCUCUAGACUUUAGCUUCUUUAUACUCUAGCUUCUUUAUACUUUAGCUUCACUUCUCUAGACUUUAGCUUCUUUAUACUCUAGCUUCUUUAUACUUUAGCUUCACUUCUCUAGACUUUAGCUUCUUUAUACUCUAGCUUCUUUAUACUUUAGCUUCACUUCUCUAGACUUUAGCUUCUUUAUACUUUAGCUUCACUUCUCUAGACUUCACUUCUUUAUACUUUAGCUUCACUUCCUCAAACUCUAGCUUCAGCUACACUUCUUUAUACUUUAGAGUUUAUCUUCUUUAUACAUUAGACUUUAUCUUCUUUAUACUUUAGACUUUAUCUUCUUUAUACUUUAGACUUUAUCUUCAGGCUUCUUAUAAACCUCUCUUGCCUUUUCACUUGAGCUCGAGCUCCUUGAUUCCCUCUCCUAAUCUGCAGACUCUCACUCUUCCCGCGCGCCUGUCUCAUACCUUUUUCGCCGGCUUUUAUAGUCGUAUAAGGUCACGUGGACGGACUCUGUGGCGCACUCUGUGGCGCAUCCCUUGGCGCGCGCCAUCUAGAGCCGUCUUCCUGAAUCAUUUCCAACAAUGAUUUAGACGUAGGAUUAAUAAAUACUUUACCCAUCACUUUUAGAUUAACAACUGAUACGCUAAUCGUACAGAAGCCUUACAGAACAUCUUAUGCAAAUAAUACGGAAAUUAAUAGACAAAUUCACGAAUUAUUAUAAUAUAAUAUUAUAAGACCAUCUUGCAGCGCAUAUGUAUCACCCAUAUUAUUAGUACAAAAGAAAUCUUAUAUCACAGGACGUCCUCUUAGACUGUAUAGAUUUUCGAAAGCUAAAUCUAAUUACUAAAACUGAAAAUGCUCCUAUACCACUAAUAGAAGAAAUUUUAGAUAGAUUGGGAAAUGCUAAAAUUUUCACCUCUCUUGAUAUAAAACAUGCCUAUUGGCACAUUCCCAUAGCGGAAACGCACAAAGACAAAACAGCAUUUGUUUGUCAACAAGGGUGCUAUGAAUGGAAUAGGAUGCCAUAUGGACAAAAAAAUGGACCAAGUAUUUUUAAUAGGGUUAUACAAAAUAUUUUACAAAAAUUUGAUAUCCACUAUGCUUUAAAUUAUUUUGACAUCAUAGUAUUUUCUAAAGAUUUCCAGGAACAUUUACAACACUUAGAUCAUAUUUUAAAUGCGCUAAAAAAAGAAAAUAUCAAAUUCAAUUUUAAUAAAUGCCAGAUUUUUCUAAAUGAAAUACAUUUUAUAGAAUAUACAAUUAAAAAUGGCACAUAUACGCCAAGUAAUGCAAAUAUUGAGGCCAUUAAAAAAUUGCAAAGACCGUAUAAUAUGAAAACAUUACAAUCUUUUUUAGGGUAUAUAAAUGUCUACCAUAAGUUCAUACCUCAUUAUGCAAAAAUCAGAGCACCACUUAACACCCUUUUACAGAAAAAUUCACCAUGGCAAUGGAAUCAAGAUCAGGAACAAUCAUUUCAGACUUUAAAAAAUGCAUUGAUGACAAACCCAUUUUACAGCUAUAUGAUCCGCAAAAACCCCUGCAUAUAUUUACAGAUUAAUCUUUGUUUGGCGUAGGAGCAAUACUUAAACAACCAGAUAAGCAAGGAAUUUUACACCCAGUAGCCUAUUUCUCUAGAAAGUUACACAAAUAUGAGCGGAAUUAUGCAGCAACCCAAUUAGACAUUAGAUAUAAUCGCAGCAACCCAAAGAUUUCACCCAUAUAUUCAUAAUAUACACUUCACUUUACAUACAGAUCAUAUGCCGUUAAAAUGGCUUAAAACUUUUAAAAACCCUUCAGGUAGAAU